UACGUAGGUGGCAAGCGUUGUCCGGAAUUACUGGGUGUAAAGCGCGUGUAGGCGGGAGGCCAAGCCUGCUGUGAAAUCGCCCGGCUCAACUGGGCGGGGUCGGUGGAAACUGGUCACCUGGAGGACGGUAGAGGCGAGUGGAAUUCCCGGUGUAGUGGUGAAAUGCGUAGAGAUCGGGAGGAACACCAGUGGCGAAGGCGGCUCGCUGGGCCGGCCCUGACGCUGAGACGCGAAGGCGUGGGGAGCGAACGGG
rnacentral:rRNA from 1 species